UGGUGACGGUGUGGAGGUUGAAUUAAUUAAGGCCCUAACAGAUGCUGUGAACUAGGUAGUAUCAUUUGUGCUUUCUACUUGUAAUUAGUAUAUAUGUGUUACACACACACUCAGGAGCGUGUGAGGUGGAAACCUGACAUCAUUCAUGCACUUGCAAAUACAAUGAACAGCAAUUGCAAAAAGUCAUUCUCUCUCUCUCUCUCUCACACACACACACACACACACACACACACACACACACAACCUCAAGAGAAAUGUAGCCAAAAUGCUGAGUUCCAAACAAGGCUUCCAUAUCAGCUGAAAGAAAAAUCAAGUUCUUUCUGCAUUUCUCCUCACUUGAAAUAGCUGGGGAUCAAAAAUCAUAAGCAUGCCUAUUUGGUUCAAAUCAAAUAAACAAGUGAAUUUUGAACAUCAUAGUGAGCCCUCAAUCUUUCUGAGUUGUAUUUCUGAUUCUUUGUUUUUGUAUUUUGGACAUAAAGACACACACACACACAGAGAGAGAGAGAGAGAGAGAGAGAGAGAAUUCCUGUCUUUCCCCUCGCAUAAUGUCUAUAACCACCAGUUCCACUGGUAAGUGAUAGUGGAUGAUACUGGAUGAAGUGGUGAUGGAUGAAGUGGUACUGAUUUUAGGGAGGAGAAGCACGAUUUCUUAGCAAGGUAAAAGACUGGCUGUUAAAUAUAUCCACAAAUAAAUUGCAAAAAGGCAGCAUAUUUACUUAAGAGAAUUUGGUGUGGCUAUUUUUCCAUAUCUCAUCAUAUUGACAGCAAUGCUACUAUAGCAAUUUCAGUGAUACUAUCAGCACAGCAGUCCCGCCCCCCCCCCCGGCCCUUUAAAAGGAAAGUCUUUGGCACUGAUGCCCAGUAUGCCCAGUACCUAGGCCCAUGCAGCUGCUUAUAACAAUGAUCAUUCGUUGUCCCUAUUUGUUCACAAUAAGGAAAGGUAUUCAUGAGAAAUAAUCAUCUGUGGUCUGAUUGGGUUCUAUCACAGACCAGCUCUAGGCAUGGUUAGAUAUUUGUGGAGUUGAAAAAUGCAUGCAAUACCAUUUUGCAUGUGUGGUUUAUAUCCACAUGUGGAUAUGAGUGCAUUGGAUUGGAGCAAUUAAAUACAUGGCUAGAAUUUGUUUGUUUUAGAUUUAUAUACUGCCCUUCAUCAAUACACCUCAGAAUGGUUCUCAAGAUAAAAUCUGGGACAAAAUCCCUCCUGCACAAAGAAGCUAUCUUAGGCAACUACAGGUGGGCUUUGCAUUUUGCAACAUUGAGGGCCAUGGUGUGAUAAUUCCUCAGAUGCCACCACAGAAACUAUCAGAAGAUGUCAUUUAAAAGCUAUUCUUGCAAGCAAAUCCCUUGGGGUCAGCUCCCAUUUGGCAUUCAGCAGCCCCAUGCUGACUUUGGAAACUGUUCCCAUGAAACACAUGAAAACAUUUUUGUCAAAAGGGAUGUAAAUACAGAACUCCACUAAGACAAUCUCGUGAACUAGAUUGUAUUUGGGCCGGAACGAGCCAUAAGCAACAUCAGUCCCCAUCUUGCUAAAAAGUGCCUGAGAAGGUUUUGAUCCCAGAUGCUGUUUUAAAUAAAGAUGCUUCAGAUUCAUGUUGACUAGAGUCACUAGCUAAGCAGUAUGUUAGAAAGAAAAGUAGGAAGAAAUAAUUGGUGCAGCUGGUGAAAAACCACACCAGCAACCUCUAUUUCUUUCAGGUUCAAGAAGAAAAUUUGCCCAGCCAGCAAGAAUCUGUUGGGAGAGUUUGGCUUCCACUACAACACCUUAAAGUAGACAUGGUGAUAGGAACAGGAGUAUCACUCCAAGUUUCUCUGCCUCAGGAGCUACUUCAUGGUGCUGCCUCCCACUUUUGUUUCAGUCAUGAACAAGUCUUUUGAAGCCCCUUAUCUACAAGCGGCAACCAUUCUAAACUGGCCAUGCCAUAUUGUCAACUUGUCUCCCAUAAUUUCCCUUCAUAGAGGGCCCUUGUGAUGUGAACAAGAGGAAGAUCUCAAUGCCAAAGUCAGAAUGACAGUGUGCAUGUGUGUUUUUCCCAGGAGCAAAGCCCCCUGUGUUUAGCACAGGAUAAAGACCUGAGUGAUCCAAACAUAGCCGCACUGACAUAGACAAGAUUAUAAGGUCAGCAGAAAGAUUUCUACAGUUGAGCUUCACAGCAAGUCUGUUAUUCAUUAAGCGGACAAUUGGAUUUAUUGGUUUUCCAGGACUCCCCCUCCUUUGGGUGAUGUGUGCCUGAUAUGAAAGUGGGCUCUGUUUUGCAGAUUUAAAAAAGAACAGGACAAUUCUGUUGAAGUCAUUCACAUAUCCCAGUCCAAAGCUCUGUAGCCAAGAACUGGUGGUUGGAUGUCUAUAAUCUUUGAGAAUUCUUGAAGAAGAAGUGAGCUCCCUAUGGACUGUAGGUGGGCAAAUGUUGUCCCCCCUCCCAAAAAAUGAUCAAGUGUCUGGAAACCAGUCUUAUGAGGAAUGGUUGAGGGCAGAGGCAUAGCUGGGGGGGGGGUGCACUGGAUGCCACACCACUUACUGUGGGGCCUGCAAUGUGCCCGAGCCACGCAUCUCUCCUGGAAGUGACACGGUGGCUUGGGUGCCUGCAGGCUCCACACUGCCCAUCUGCCCGCCUCCUCCCCCCAGCGGCUAAGGGGGAAGUGGCAGACGGACUCCAUGGAGGCUCUACACAGCUUGCCGUGCCCUAUGGGCAGCUUGCUCCACCCCGAUGGGCGGCUUGCCCUGCUCCCGGGCGCCCGAGUGGCUAGCUACGCCACUGGUUGAGUUGGGUAUGUUUAGCCUGGGAAAGAAGAGACCGAGAGAAGAUGUGAUAGCCAAAAGGGCUGUCACAUGGAAGAUGGAGCAAGCUUGCUUUCUCCUGCUCUGGAGGGUACGACUUGAACCAAUGGAUUCACAUUACAGGAAAGGAGAUUUUUUUUCUGUCAGUAAGAGCUGUUUGACAGUGGAACAGACUCCCUUAGGAUGUUGUAGGCUCUCCUUCAUUGGAAGUUUUUAAGCAGAGGUUGGAUGGCCACCUGUCCUGGAUGCUUCAGUUGAGAUUCCUACCAUGCAGGGAGUUGGACUCAGUGACCCUCAGGAUUCCUUCCAAUUCUACAGUCCUAUGAUUCUAUAGUUCUGCAAUUCCUCCCAAAGAUUCCUGGUACAUUAAACUUCAACUUUAAUUCAAUUCAUGAAUGUUGAAGCACCAGCUUCCUCUAUGUACACACACCAGAGCUCCUAGACUCAUACUGUAUUUUGGCGAGAUGUAGGUAUGGACAAAUUGACCUAAGUAUUUCCUCUCCAUCUUAGUUUCACAUACACGCAAUCCCACCCCAUUCCCAUUUUGCUGCAGAUUCUUUUUUAUGUAUAAAAUGUAUUUAAACCUUUUGUAUGUGUAUUAUAUUAUCACUAUAUUAUUCUGUACAUGUUCUUUGUUGAAAAUGCACAAUUUUGAAUGCUUUUCCGUGUUUUCCCGUAAAAUACACAUUUUUGCAUGCAUUUUCUCAUGUUUUUGUGAGCAAUGGAAAACUGAGAGGUUUGUGCAUUCUGAUAUACACCUUUGUUCAAAUUCACAUACAAGUCUGUCACAGCAAAUUAGGUGACUUUGAAUCAAACAACAUUUCCCUCCAUUCCUAAACUGGGAUAUAUAAAAAAAGAAUGAUAAAAUGUUUAAGUCAUCAUCAAAUACAGGUUUAGGUCCACUGAUUUCAGGGAGUUUAAACAUGUCCCAUUUUGUGCUGGACUGUGGCCUUAACCAUUUUAGUAAUUUAUGUUUAGGGACUCCAACCAGCUUUGGCCAAAGAGGAUUAAUCAUCUCAAUGACGACUUGGAGGAUUAGGUAGAAACAAAUGGACAAAAUUAGCUGUUCUUGGGAGCUGACACAGUGGGGAAGUGCAUAAUGGGGGCAAAGUAAGAAUCCUACCCAACUCCAAGCUCAUAAACUGUAAAAUAUUGUAGUGUCUUUUAUUCUCAUCUUGUUUCCAUAGAAUGACCCAAUCCCAGCCCCCCUUCAGUGAAAUUGAAUCCCAAGCAUUUGCUGCCCACCUAAUAAUCGUGGUGUUGAAAAAAAAGUUAUGCAAUGGAAUUAUCUGCAGCUUAGAAAUCUGUCUCCAUGCUCUGCGUGGCUUUGUGGUGAAAGGCGAUCUGCUUUCGUUCAGCUGGUGAGAAAUGGCCGUUGAACAAUGCAAUGAAAGCAGAAGCAUGCCUCCUGCUCAUGUGCCUGUUUGCCUUACAUCUCCCCAUCUUACGAAUUCUGCUUGCAUUUUCUACCCCUUCCUUAAUAUUCAAGGAUUAUCUUGGCUCCUCUCGUGGGACAGCUUCCUUGGGGUUAUGGAAUAAUUAGAAGAGAUUAUGGUCUGCUUUUUGAGCGCGGCAAGAUUGAUUUCUAUUUUUCUUCUAGCUAAUGAGAAGUUUGCUUGUUCUCAUUUGAUUUGAAUAACUAUUCUCCUCCAAGGCUCCUCACUGAACCAAGAUAAAAAAAGUACAAUCUGCCACAAAAAGAGGAAUUGCAAGCAAGGGCGAUAAUACAAGACAGGAGUAGGGUGGGGGACUCCAAAUGCUUUUGUUAAAGCCUAGCCAUAAAUGUUUUUGUGGGUUUUUUUGGCAGCUUUUUGAGUUAUUGACUGGGCUGGGGACUGAAGACUGGUUCACACACGCUUGCUCCUCACUGGACAGCUGUGUGGCAUCGCUGGAAACUGCAAGUGUCAAUGGCUCAUCACAGAUUAAGCUCCAUAGAAUUUGCGCAGCAUCUUAUACAAAAUGCUUUUCAACAUAGUCCAAUAAUUCCCCUGUAAGCAGUGAAGUGAUGGCCAUAUAUUUGUGAAGCAGCCUUCACAAAUCAAGGGCGGGACACCUGCAGAGCUGUGUUUGCAUCAAAAUCGUUACGCUCGAACCCACUCAAUCACAUCCCAUUCUGUAUUCAUUCCACAAAGUACAUACUAUAAGCACAGCACAAUGCACCAAUUGUUGAUACUGCAUAACUCGUGUUUGUUUUGAUGGGGUCUGUAACAGGAGAAAUGCUCAGUGAAAGGCACUUGUUUUCAGUACGUAGAAGUUCUUUCCCCCUCCGAUUGUUACCUCAAUUGCAGAGGCAUUAACCUCAAAGGUCUUAUUUUAAAUUUGGGAAGAGAAGAAUGAAUGUGAGUUUACUUAGCAUUCAUGCCCUGCCUCUCUUUACAACCCGCUUUCCAGAAAAAUACCCUUCUAUGUCCUGCACAGAAGAGUUGGAAGAUCUCAAAUAACUCAUACAAGACUUACCCACUUCCAUAUGGGGCAUCACCCCAUAACUCCCAGGUCAGCGGCCAAUUUAUCCCGGAGAAAAUAGCCUCCAGACCACAAAUAUGGGAAUCCGUUAGAUCCUGGAAGAGAAUGAAACACAUCUCAUUGACACCAUGGCUCUCUGGCAGAAGCAGUCCACCCUGACUGAUGCACCAUCUCUGGCCAUCCAAAUAAGGUCAGUAGAUAUUAUUUGUAGUGAGACACCCUUGAUCUCUGGUUCUCCAUUUUGUCUUGUGGACAAGUCGCUUUGUCCCCUCAAUCCACAACCAACAAGAUAGGUUCUGUUUGACAGUGACACAGAGGGUUGUAGUGAUAAUUAAAACUGAGGCAGUUUCCUCACUCCUGAAGAAACCACCAUGAGGUGACACUUACUGUAAGUGGGUGGCGGCAGCAGAGAAAGGGGAAAUGGGACCCCCCCCGGGCUACUAGGCUACAUGACAUUGUGGCCCUGGAGAAGGGGCCACUGUAUUGUUAUACCAUUCACCAUCUGCUCCCUUCAAAUACCCAGUGGAAGUUCUUUAAAUGAAUUUAAAUGCAGGGCUUCUCAUCCCGUCAGCUAGUACAAAAUGCUUUCAGUUUGUGAACUGGAAGGAUUCUACUCAUUUUUCUGAACAAAUAUUUUUCGCUUCUUAACUACAUUACAGCAAAUCACCAUUGAAGAGGGCUUGCCAGAUAUUGCACAAAAGAUUGUAUCAUCAGGUGUCCCUUAAAGCAGUGGUUCCCCAACUUUACCCCAUCAAUGACUACUUGAAAAUUGCUGAGAGUCUUGGCAGACCACUUAAUGAUUUUCCUGCCUCUUGUAGCAAUUGUAAUCUGCAUUCUCACUGCUUCUUUUAUUUGCUAUGUAUUGCAAUCUGAAAUUUACAGAGCUGAAAUUGCAGUCAAUGCAGUACAACGAAAGAAGUAAAAAGCAAUAAAAUGCAAUUAAAAGUUAGUGUGAAUUUGGAAAGCAAUAGAUGUGCCCUCUUCCACCUUCAACCGCAAAUCCACAGACAUGCAACACGCCACCUAAAUAAAGCUCGUGGACUGUUAGCAGUCUGUGGACCAUGGUUUGGGAACCCCAACCUUAAAGAUUUCUCAAGCCACAUGGAAGCUAUGUGUUAACACCCACUUACAUAUAGAUGGCCUGUACAGUGGAGUGGGACAAACUGGGUGGAAUAAGCACCUAACCAGAUGGGACUUCUUAUUUUCCCCUCACCAGACAGGAUAGCAUCUAGUGAGAGGAUGUACUGUAUUUUUCGCCCCAUAGGGCGCACCUGGUUUUUCGGGGGGAAAUAAAGAAAAAAAAUUAUUUUCCUCCCCCAGGCUUCCCCCGAGCUUCCCCCGACCCCAGCCCCCAGAACAGGCUGCUAUCUGCAAGCCUAGGGAGCUAUGCGGGAACUCCUGCAGGCUCCCCAGGCUUGUGGAUAGCUUCCUGAAGCCUGCAUUCGCCCCAUAGGACGCACACACAUUUCCCCUUCAUUUUUGGAGGGGAAAAAGUGCAUCCUAUAGGGCGAAAAAUACGGUAAUUUUUAGUAAAAAGGGCUAAGCAGCCCCUUUACCACUAGUCUUCCACUCUAACAAACCAUGGGGGGUUGUUUUCAAGCACCCAAUACAAAGGCUAGGAAGACCUGCUGGCAUCUAUAGGACAGAACAAAGGCUGAGAUUGUUAAAAAGGAGGGAGUUGUGUCGAUUUAGUCCGGAGUGGACCACAGCACGGGAGUCAUUGACUUUGGAUGCUUGGGAGAAGCUUGUAGUGUAUUUAGUGGUUUGCAGUUGUGAAUUUUCUUUCUUGCAUUUAUAUGGUUAAAUUUUUUGAAGCCUAAACACAAGCAGUUCAAUAAAAGAGAAUAAGGGAGUGGGGGAAAUCCAUUAGGAUUCCCCCCCCCCCAUACAUACAUAUUUUCCAGCGAGAGCGAAAAUUAUCCCACUGGAGUAAGUGCUGUUGAAUAUGGAAAUAUUUCUUAAAACCUUCAUGGAUCAAAAAUGUAUGUGCUAUUUAUAAUAAGCGUCACAUUUCUCUUCCCUCAGAAAACAGUUCAAUCAUACUGGAAAAGUGAAAGUGGGUAGCUAAACUGGUAAACAUAUGGAUAUAUACUGACAAAGACUUAAAAGGCAAUUCCAAAUGUAGCUGGUAUUUUAAAGACAAAGAGGUGUGAACUCUGUGUGUGUGUGUGUGUGUGUGUGUGUGUGUGUGUGUAUUCUCAAGGCACUGAAGGUUAUAACCAUAUUGAAAAGUAAUGAACACUCUGAAAGAAUGGUAGCAACAGAUAACAGUUCCAGGGAAAUUAGAAUAACAAAUGCCUCCAUUCUCCGUAUGAGAAUCAUGAUGAUAUGCUGGGGUUGCGGAUCAGGCACAGCUUUGUAUUUCCCUAUCUUCUUUUCUCAUUAAUGGUGACAGUUUGUUUCAGGAUUGUUAAAAUAAAGAGCAAAGGCUGGGAAGGCAUUUCUUGCAUCUGUCACUUCUAAAGAAGACUUCCCCGUUCAUUUCAUUUGGCAUUUUAAAUGUCACCGGUGCUUCAGACAUUUCUGGUGUCAGGAUGUAGGAGGCCUGUCCUGCUGACAGCCUCCCCCAUCGCUACCUCAAUAUAUUCAGCAAAGAAAUGCAAAUUAUUGUGUUUCUGCUGAGAAGGAGGGUAGAGAAGCUCUGUCAAGUGCCUCUUUUUAUUCAGCUUCAAGAAGAUUAUAAAAUGUAGGGCACUAGGUUUGCUGAUACACUUAUUUAGUUGCACUGUGUAUAUUCUUUUGAUCAUUCACACGAAACAUCCACAUUUUGUGGGAUAUGCAUGAGGCACAAGGAACUUUUCUGUCUCUGCACAACAUUGUUCAGGAGCAGCCCAAAGAACAUGAGAGCCCUGGACAGCAGCUGAAAUCUGCACUUGAGUGGCAAGACCAAAUAAGAGUAGACCCACUGAAAUGAACGGACCAAAUUUCAUUGUGUUCAUUCAUUUCAAUGGGUAUACUCUGAGUAAGACCUCAUUGAAUACCACCCCAUGUAUCUUCUCAUGGUGUCCAUGAUGCCUUUCUCCACCCUAUACAAUUUCUCCUUCUUAUUUUUCCCUUCUCACCCACCUCUUUCCUGUGCUGAGUAACAAUGCUUUUCUCCCAGGCCUACCAAACCUUCCUUUGACACCAUGACACUUUCUGCCCCCUAAGUAGCCCUGAAGUUCCCACACAGCCCCUUUCUCCUGACAUUAUCUUUUUUUUGCUCUGAGGAUCCAGCUUGCCACCCUGCCUUCCUCUCAAUAUUUCCUUCCAAACCUGGAGAUAUUUAGGAAGAGCUUUCUGUGGUUGCCUAGCAACCAUAUCAUGUCAACCCGAACCAAGCUCUGGGGAGAUCCAGCUAAUCUGUAUGCUUAAGAUGGCAGCCAAUUUUCCUGCAUGAAUUGCCCAUCAAGCAGAAGCAGCACGACAACAAUGGCUCUCAACAGUUGACUUGCCCUGACUACUGAGGGAAGAUGAAGCCCUUUCUUCCCAUUUGCUGGACACACCACAAAGCAUCUCUUUACAAAGCUUUCUAUCCACAAGUGUGUAAAGUUACAUUUCUUCACAAAGAUUCAUUCUGGGGGUGGGGGAAAACCUAGACAGUUAACAAUGUAGUUUGAGCUAGAAAAGCAUAUUGUUCCUUUAAAAAUAAAUCACAAAGGUACAGUAAGGCCAGAUCCAACUUCGUUACAUUGGUGGAAGUGACAAAGCCUGAUAGGCCAGGCAUCAACCAUUGAAGCAGCAAUGAUUUCCUCCAUCUCCUCCCCACACCCCUUUCCAGUUUCCAAUUACCUCCCAGAAACCCAUCUGGUAGAAAUGGAACAAUAAAUUUGUAUACAGUCUUGUCAUUUUCCUCAUUCAGCCAUUUCCAGGAUCUGUCUCAGCAGAACAGAGCCUGGGGAAUUUAUUUCAGACUGCUCCAUGGAAAAAAAGGGAGGAAGGGGGUGAAGAAUUAAUGACAAUUGUUUCUGUUUGGCCAAGACUUGGCUCUGUUGCCUUUGAACUGUGUCUGAAAACCAAUACCUUUCUUCUUUAUUUCCCCCUUAGGACUGUCAUUUGGUCUGCUUUCAGGUGCUUAAUGAGAAACAAGCCUCUGUCGACAGAGUUUAAGGGCCAUGAUUAAGUGGCUGGUUGACUGGCCGCUGGGUGCCUAUUGGGGAAGCGAAGGGCUGCUUGUCUAGCGCUGUGCCUCCUCAGUGCCAUGAGACUGUUCCCUGAUGCCGCAAAAUAAAAGUGACAUUCCUCACCCCACCCAGUUCCUGUUUUCUUCUCAUUUGCACAACACUUUUAACUUUUGUACCU